rnacentral:rRNA from 1 species
UACGUAGGGGCCUAGCGUUGUCCGGAAUUAUUGGGCGUAAAGAGCGUGUAGGCGGUCCGGUAAGUCCGCUGUGAAAGUCGGGGGCUCAACCCUCGAAUGCCGGUGGAUACUGUCGGGCUAGAGUGCGGAAGAGGCGAGUGGAAUUCCUGGUGUAGCGGUGAAAUGCGCAGAUAUCAGGAGGAACACCUAUUGCGAAGGCAGCUCGCUGGGACGUAACUGACGCUGAGACGCGAAAGCGUGGGGAGCGAACAGG